rnacentral:rRNA from 1 species
UACCAGCACCCCGAGUGGUCGGGACGAUUAUUGGGCCUAAAGCAUCCGUAGCCGGUUCUGCAAGUCCCCCGUUAAAUCCAGCUGCUCAACAGAUGGGCCGCGGAGGAUACUACAGAGCUAGGAGGCAGGAGAGGCAAGCGGUACUCAGUGGGUAGGGGUAAAAUCCGUUGAUCCAUUGAAGACCACCAGUGGCGAAGGCGGCUUGCCAGAAUGCGCUCGACGGUGAGGGAUGAAAGCUGGGGGAGCAAACAGG